rnacentral:rRNA from 1 species
UACGUAGGGUGCAAGCGUUGUCCGGAAUUAUUGGGCGUAAAGAGCUCGUAGGCGGUUUGUCGCGUCUGGUGUGAAAAUCCAGGGCUUAACCCUGGACCUGCAUCGGGUACGGGCAGACUAGAGUGCGGUAGGGGAGAUCGGAAUUCCUGGUGUAGCGGUGAAAUGCGCAGAUAUCAGGAGGAACACCGGUGGCGAAGGCGGAUCUCUGGGCCGUAACUGACGCUGAGGAGCGAAAGCAUGGGGGAGCGAACAGG